AGUGAACGCUGGCGGUAGGCCAAACACAUGCAAGUCGAACGGCAGCACAGAGGAGCUUGCUCCUUGGGUGGCGAGUGGCGGACGGGUGAGGAAUACAUCGGAAUCUACUCUGUCGUGGGGGAUAACGUAGGGAAACUUACGCUAAUACCGCAUACGACCUACGGGUGAAAGCAGGGGACCCUCGGGCCUUGCGCGAUUGAAUGAGCCGAUGUGGGAUUAGCUAGUUGGCGGGGGAAAGGCCCACCAAGGCGACGAUCCGUAGCUGGUCUGAGAGGAUGAUCAGCCACACUGGAACUGAGACACGGUCCAGACUCCUACGGGAGGCAGCAGUGGGGAAUAUUGGACAAUGGGCGCAAGCCUGAUCCAGCCAUACCGCGUGGGUGAAGAAGGCCUUCGGGUUGUAAAGCCCUUUUGUUGGGAAAGAAAUCCAGCUGGCUAAUACCCGGUUGGGAUGACGGUACCCAAAGAAUAAGCACCGGCUAACUUCGUGCCAGCAGCCGCCGUAA
rnacentral:rRNA from 1 species